rnacentral:rRNA from 1 species
UAAUACAGAGGGUGCAAACGUUGCUCGGAAUUAUUGGGCGUAAAGCGCGUGUAGGCGGCUUGUUAAGUUGGUCGUGAAAGCCCACAGCUCAACUGUGGAAGUGCAACCAAAACUGGCAAGCUUGAGUUCUGAAGAGGAUGGCGGAAUUCCCAGUGUAGAGGUGAAAUUCGUAGAUAUUGGGAGGAACAUCGGUGGCGAAGGCGGCCAUCUGGGAAGCGACUGACGCUGAGACGCGAAAGCGUGGGUAGCAAACAGGAUUAGAUACCCUGGUAGUCCACGCUGUAAACGAUGAUCACUAGAUGUUGCGGGUAUUGACCCCUGCAGUGUCGACGCUAACGCAUUAAGUGAUCCGCCUGGGGAGUACGGCCGCAAGGCUA